UGCAAAACAGCUGAUCUUUGAAAAUAAAAAAAUAAAAAAUGCUACAUAGAAAAAAAAAUUCAUGUUCAUAUCAUGUAUGUACUAAUGUGAAAUUGUGAUUUAAUCGGAAAAAAAAGGGGGUCUUGCCACGAAGAAUAAAAAGUUUCGCAAUCCUGAAGUCAAAACAUUUUUUUUCUACUUUCUGUUUGCUAUUUUUACUAGGCCGCACCACUUCCAGUAAACAUGAUAUCCUUCCACUUUCCUGGAUUGAUAUCCCCAAAAGAUGCAAGAUUUUUUUUAAAGUCUAUAUAUAUGUUUCAAUUCAGCAUAAACUUAUAAUCAAACAGAAAAAAUUGAGUUCAGAAAAAAAUUCAGAAAAAAAUGCACUAUUUUGUUUCCCUC
rnacentral:lncRNA from 1 species